rnacentral:rRNA from 1 species
UACGAAGGGGGCUAGCGUUGUUCGGAAUUACUGGGCGUAAAGCGCGUGUAGGCGGGCUUUUAAGUCAGGGGUGAAAUGCCAAGGCUCAACCUUGGAACUGCCUUUGAUACUGGAAGUCUUGAGUCCGGGGAGAGGUGAGUGGAACUGCGAGUGUAGAGGUGAAAUUCGUAGAUAUUCGCAAGAACACCAGUGGCGAAGGCGGCUCACUGGCCCGGAACUGACGCUGAGACGCGAAAGCGUGGGGAGCAAACAGG